CCUACGGGUGGCUGCAGUGGGGAAUUUUGGACAAUGGGCGAAAGCCUGAUCCAGCAAUGCCGCGUGUGUGAAGAAGGCCUUCGGGUUGUAAAGCACUUUUGGCGGGAACGAAACAGCGCUUGCUAAUACCGGGCGCGAAUGACGGUACCCGCAGAAUAAGCACCGGCUAACUACGUGCCAGCAGCCGCGGUAAGACGUAGGGUGCGAGCGUUAAUCGGAAUUACUGGGCGCGAAGCGUGCGCAGGCGGCUGAAACCCCCGGGCUCAACCUGGGAACUGCAUUUGUGACUGCAAGGCUAGAGUGCGUCAGAGGGAGGUGGAAUUCCGCGUGUAGCAGUGAAAUGCGUAGAGAUGCGGAGGAACACCGAUGGCGAAGGCAGCCUCCUGGGAUGACACUGACGCUCAUGCACGAAAGCGUGGGGAGCAAACAGGAUUAGAUACCCCAGUAGUC
rnacentral:rRNA from 1 species